GAUGAACGCUGGCGGCGUGCUUAACACAUGCAAGUCGAACGGUGAAGGCGGAGCUUGCUCUGCUGGAUCAGUGGCGAACGGGUGAGUAACACGUGAGCAAUCUGCCCCUGACUCUGGGAUAAGCGCUGGAAACGGCGUCUAAUACUGGAUACGAGCUGCGAAGGCAUCUUCAGCAGCUGUAAAGAACUUCGGUCAGGGAUGAGCUCGCGGCCUAUCAGCUUGUUGGUGAGGUAACGGCUCACCAAGGCGUCGACGGGUAGCCGGCCUGAGAGGGUGACCGGCCACACUGGGACUGAGACACGGCCCAGACUCCUACGGGAGGCAGCAGUGGGGAAUAUUGCACAAUGGGCGAAAGCCUGAUGCAGCAACGCCGCGUGAGGGACGACGGCCUUCGGGUUGUAAACCUCUUUUAGCAGGGAAGAAGCGAAAGUGACGGUACCUGCAGAAAAAGCGCCGGCUAACUACGUG
rnacentral:rRNA from 1 species